UGGCUCAGAACGAACGCUGGCGGCGCGUUUAAGCAUGCAAGUCGAGCGGCAAGGGCCUUCGGGCCCUAGAGCGGCGGACGGGUGAGUAACACGUGGACAAUCUGCCCCCCGGCCCGGGAUAGCCCAGGGAAACCUGGAUUAAUACCGGAUGAGACGGGACCCGCGAUGGCGGGAUCCGGGAAAGGCGCUGCGGCGCCGCCGGGGGAUGAGUCUGCGUCCCAUUAGCUAGACGGCGGGGUAACGGCCCACCGUGGCGACGAUGGGUAGCCGGCCUGAGAGGGUGGACGGCCACAUUGGAACUGAGACACGGUCCAGACUCCUACGGGGGCAGCGGCUAAGAAUCUUCCGCAAUGGGCGAAAGCCUGACGGAGCCGACGCCGCGUGAACGAAGAAGGCCGUGAGGUUGUAAAGUUCUUUUCGGGAGGGGGAACAACCGUGGCAGGGAAUGGCCGCGGGAUGACGUGAAUCCCGGAAUAAGCCCCGGCUAACUACGUGCCAGCCGCAGC
rnacentral:rRNA from 1 species